rnacentral:sRNA from 1 species
AGCGGAAUUCGUGAGACCAUUUUUUAAAUGAGUGUAGUACACCACUCUUGGUAUAGUACAUCCAUUUUGAGUCUGUAUUAGGAUUUUAUAUGGAUAUGUCAGUCACUUCAAUUCAAUUGCUCAGUUGUGUCCGAUGGUUUGGAACCCCAUGGAUUGUAGCAUGCCCCGCUUUCCCUGUCAAUCACUAACUCCGUGAGCUUGUGUCUCCUUCCUUCUCAGCUUUAUUAUAGUUCGUAUUUCUUGUUUGACGAAUCUGUACAGAGUUUCCUUUGUUGUGGCUGUACUGAUUCUCGCUCCCUUACAUCGAUACACAGAGGCAGUCAGCAGUGUUUAUUUUCUCUGACCUGCUCUCAGAAGUGUGUACGACAUCACUCUUGCUAAGUCGGUCCCUGUAGAUUAUGUAUGUGACAGGUAUUUGUGGGAAUCCAUGAAUUUCAGCCUACCAAUAUAAGCCUUCCAGGGAGUUCCAUUUUACCUCGGUUGGGGUACUCACUACCAGCAAUAUUGUCUGUCCUAUGUGAAACGUAAAUUCUGUAACACAACUCUCAUCUGCCCUUCUUCAGUGACUCUGAUUAUCACAAUUGUCUGUACCUCUGACAAGGUCAUUCUUUCCUUGUUUCAAUGCUUGAGUCAUAUUCCGUCAUGAACCCCUACCCCAUUCCUUUAUCUGUUCAUCUCUCUGUCCCUGUGUACUUCCUUUAAUUUCAUCUCUGGGCAUUGGGAAUCCUGCUGCAGUGCAUCCUCUUGGGCAUGUGGUUUUCAAAGUCUGUGUAUUUCUGAAGUAUCAUAGGAGUGGAGAAGCCCUGUCAUAUUUUCUUUUUUUUUUUUUU